GAUGAACGCUGGCGGCGUGCCUAAUACAUGCAAGUCGAGCGAACAGACGAGGAGCUUGCUCCUCUGAUGUUAGCGGCGGACGGGUGAGUAACACGUGGAUAACCUACCUAUAAGACUGGGAUAACUUCGGGAAACCGGAGCUAAUACCGGAUAACAUGUUGAACCGCAUGGUUCAACAGUGAAAGACGGUCUUGCUGUCACUUAUAGAUGGAUCCGCGCCGCAUUAGCUAGUUGGUAAGGUAACGGCUUACCAAGGCAACGAUGCGUAGCCGACCUGAGAGGGUGGUCGGCCACACUGGAACAGAGACACGGUCCAGACUCCUACGGGAGGCAGCAGUAGGGAAUCUUCCGCAAUGGGCGAAAGCCUGACGGAGCAACGCCGCGUGAGUGAAGAAGGUCUUCGGAUCGUAAAACUCUGUUAUUAGGGAAGAACAAAUGUGUAAGUAACUAUGCACGUCUUGACGGUACCUAAUCAGAAAGCCACGGCUAACUACGUG
rnacentral:rRNA from 1 species